GCGGGAAAGUAGCUUGCGACUUUUGCCGGCGAGCGGCGGAGGGGUGAGUAAUGCCUGGGAAAUUGCCCAGUCAAGGGGGAUAACAUUUGGAAACGCCUGCUACUACCGAAUACGGCCUACGGGGGAAAGCAGGGGACCUUCGGGCCUUGCGCGAAUGGAUAUGCCCAGGUGGGAUUAGCUAGUUGGUGAGGUAAUGGCUCACCAAGGCGAGGAUCCCUAGCUGGUCUGAGAGGAUGAUCAGCAACACUGGAACUGAGACACGGUCCAGAAUCCUACGGGAGGAAGCCGUGGGGAAUAUUGCAGAAUGGGGGAAACAAUGGUGCAGCCGUGCCGACUGUGAGAAGAAGGCCUUCGGGUUGUAAAGCACUUUCCGCGAGGAGGAAAGGUUGGCGCGUAAUACGUGUCAACUGUGACGUUAAUCGCACAAGAAGCACCGGAUAAGUCAGUGCCGCAGAAGAAGCACCGGCGUGCAAGCUUAAUCGGAA
rnacentral:rRNA from 1 species